rnacentral:rRNA from 1 species
GCAAGUCGAACGAGGACUAGAAGCUUGCUCUCUAUAGCCGAGUGGCGAACGGGUGAGUAACACGUGACCAACCUGUCUUUAGGCGAGGGACAACCUGGGGAAACCCGGACUAAUACCUCAUAACGUCUUUUUUUCGCAGGGAAGAAAGACCAAAGGGGGCCUCUUCUUGAAAGCUCCCGCCUAAUGAGGGGGUCGCGGCGUAUCAGCUUGUUGGUGGGGUAAUGGCUCACCAAGGCUACGACGCGUAGCGGGUCUGAGAGGACGAUC